rnacentral:rRNA from 1 species
UUAAAUUGAAGAGUUUGAUCAUGGCUCAGAUUGAACGCUGGCGGCAGGCCUAACACAUGCAAGUCGAACGGUAACAGGAAGCAGCUUGCUGCUUCGCUGACGAGUGGCGGACGGGUGAGUAAUGUCUGGGAAACUGCCUGAUGGAGGGGGAUAACUACUGGAAACGGUAGCUAAUACCGCAUAACGUCGCAAGACCAAAGAGGGGGACCUUCGGGCCUCUUGCCAUCGGAUGUGCCCAGAUGGGAUUAGCUAGUAGGUGGGGUAACGGCUCACCUAGGCGACGAUCCCUAGCUGGUCUGAGAGGAUGACCAGCCACACUGGAACUGAGACACGGUCCAGACUCCUACGGGAGGCAGCAGUGGGGAAUAUUGCACAAUGGGCGCAAGCCUGAUGCAGCCAUGCCGCGUGUAUGAAGAAGGCCUUCGGGUUGUAAAGUACUUUCAGCGGGGAGGAAGGCGAUAAGGUUAAUAACCUUGCCGAUUGACGUUACCCGCAGAAGAAGCACCGGCUAACUCCGUGCCAGCAGCCGCGGUAAUACGGAGGGUGCAAGCGUUAAUCGGAAUUACUGGGCGUAAAGCGCACGCAGGCGGUCUGUCAAGUCGGAUGUGAAAUCCCCGGGCUCAACCUGGGAACUGCAUUCGAAACUGGCAGGCUAGAGUCUUGUAGAGGGGGGUAGAAUUCCAGGUGUAGCGGUGAAAUGCGUAGAGAUCUGGAGGAAUACCGGUGGCGAAGGCGGCCCCCUGGACAAAGACUGACGCUCAGGUGCGAAAGCGUGGGGAGCAAACAGGAUUAGAUACCCUGGUAGUCCACGCCGUAAACGAUGUCGACUUGGAGGUUGUGCCCUUGAGGCGUGGCUUCCGGAGCUAACGCGUUAAGUCGACCGCCUGGGGAGUACGGCCGCAAGGUUAAAACUCAAAUGAAUUGACGGGGGCCCGCACAAGCGGUGGAGCAUGUGGUUUAAUUCGAUGCAACGCGAAGAACCUUACCUACUCUUGACAUCCAGAGAACUUAGCAGAGAUGCUUUGGUGCCUUCGGGAACUCUGAGACAGGUGCUGCAUGGCUGUCGUCAGCUCGUGUUGUGAAAUGUUGGGUUAAGUCCCGCAACGAGCGCAACCCUUAUCCUUUGUUGCCAGCGGUCCGGCCGGGAACUCAAAGGAGACUGCCAGUGAUAAACUGGAGGAAGGUGGGGAUGACGUCAAGUCAUCAUGGCCCUUACGAGUAGGGCUACACACGUGCUACAAUGGCGCAUACAAAGAGAAGCGACCUCGCGAGAGCAAGCGGACCUCAUAAAGUGCGUCGUAGUCCGGAUUGGAGUCUGCAACUCGACUCCAUGAAGUCGGAAUCGCUAGUAAUCGUGGAUCAGAAUGCCACGGUGAAUACGUUCCCGGGCCUUGUACACACCGCCCGUCACACCAUGGGAGUGGGUUGCAAAAGAAGUAGGUAGCUUAACCUUCGGGAGGGCGCUUACCACUUUGUGAUUCAUGACUGGGGUGAAGUCGUAACAAGGUAACCGUAGGGGAACCUGCGGUUGGAUCACCUCCUUACCUUAAAGAA